CUUGGUAGGAGCCGUGAAGCGGCGACAUCCCCACCAAAGGUGUGUGUAAACCCUACUCCUGCUACCUGGGGAACUUUCUCCUGGCACAGAAUUCUGAGGUUUGAAUGACAUGCACUUAGAAUUACUGGGCGUGCACAUUGGACGCUGGGCGGCCCCAGGUCUGGACAAGGCAUCAGCAUGGUGCGGCCACAUGAGGCAGCCGGGCCGGAGCCUGGAGCCGCCGCUUCACAUCCACAGAGGAUGAGGGUGCCGAGCUGGAGCGGUGGACGGGGUGCAGAUGGGGCAGCUGUCGCUCUCUGGCAUUCUGGUUGUAUCCUACCAGAGGAGGGACGCCCACCAGCGCCGGUGUCAGCUGCCAUCUGCCUGUGCAGUUGCAGCGGGCCCAGGGCGGAGCGUCGGGAGGCGGCGGAACAUGUCCCUGUCCCUGGUGCUUGCGGGGGCCGGGCUGGCACGGGCCGGAAUGCAUGGGUCAGGGCGCCACCCACUUCCUGGGUCUGCUCCACCGGGGCCCUGGACCCCCACGGGCUCCCGCAGUCUCCAGUCCCCCCAUCGUUCGCCCUCUGGUGGCCGGAGUGUGCAGUGCACCUGCGCAAGCUCUAGGCUGCUGCCGGUUUAGGCCGGUUUCAUCCUUUUCCUGCCAAUGCCUUUUUUUUUUUUUUUUUUUUUUUGUCUUUUUUUUAGGACCGCACCCCGGGGCAUAUGGAAGUUCCCAGGGCAGGGGUCGAAUCAGUCCCCGGGGCCUCCCUUCCCUCCGGUCGAGGGUCCUGGGUGAGUGUGUCUGGCACACAGAGGGUCUUUACCAGCCGACCCCACCCACUAAGAUGCCGGAGGCCCUGGGCCCCUGGGGGCUGAUGGCUGCGCUGUUUCUGGAAUUGCGGGGUGGGGGGUGUGUCUGCCCCAGAUCCUCUAGUUCUGGGUGGGCAGAGAAGUCCCCUCCUCCACUGGGUCCCCAGCCCUCUGGCUGCUUCCCGGGGGACCAGAGGAGCUGGCCGUGUUUCCUCCGUUGCCCGGGCUGGCGGGACGCCCAGGCCUGCAGCGCCACUGACGCACAGCGUGGCUCCCGGCCCUGUCACGUGACACCCACACCAAACACAGAAGAUGCCUGCACACAGCACACACGGGCACCCGCACACGCUCCCUCAGCUGCCCUGUGUGCCAGGAGGCCCCCCUCGGCAUGGGUGACCUCUGGGCUACCCAGGGAAGUGAGGCACCCCCCACCCCCACCCAUGACAGAGGGGCAGGUGGACUGGGCCGGGGGCUCUUGUCCCUGGUUGAACAGCAGGUCCAACACGACAGCUUUCCCAAGGGGGCCACUGUGCAGGCCUGUGCCCAUGGACCUCCCACAGGGUGUUGCUUCUGCUGUCACGGCCGCUGCCUGGCCCCGAAGGCGAGUCAGCCUCCAGCCACCGCCGCACACCCACAGAGGAACCGAGCGAGGAGGCGGCCGGGAGGGAGCCUGGAGCCGGUCAGGGAAGCCCAUAUUCUAGAACAGCCCAGGAGCCCAGUGUCAGCAGUGAGACCCAGGCCGGACACCGGGGCACAUGUGUGGUUGUGUCUGCGUGUGUAUUUGUGUGGUUCUCCGCAUAUGCGUGUGCGUGUCUGUGGGGGUGUGUGUUCCCCAUCUCAGAUCUAGCUGCUCGCCGAUCUGAAAUCAAUACCCUGGAAGCCGUGGGUGGCCCAAAGGGCAGUUGCUUCCAUCAGAGCCCGGCAGUCGGGGGACGGCGGAUGCAGCGUCCCCCCAAACCAUCUCCAAAGACUCUGCUGGGCCACGAGAACUUUUUAAGGGGAAAAAGGGACGCGACCUCGGGGGACCACGGAGACAGGGGUCAGGGUCCGGCCAUCCCCCCAGGCUGGUCACUCCUCGUGCUCUUGCUUCAGAUGCUGUCUGUUCACGCAGUUGUUCGGAGCUUCUCGAAGGGGAGGCGGGGCAGGGACCGUCCUUAAUUACGAAUAUGCUUCGUUUCCACUUUGAGUCACACUAGGAACCGGCAGGCCAGGCAAGGUUUUGCGUGAUCAAAAGAUUUGAAAGCCCUGCCAGGGCCAGAGACGGGUGCAGCCUUGGGCGCCUGGUGUAAGGUUAGUGACCGGACCAAAGCCCUCCUGGAGAGAGCCCUUUCCUGCCAAAGGCUGCCCACACGUGUGUAUAUGGGUGUGUGUGUGUGUGUGUGUGUGUGUGGGGAAGCCCUCUCCAGGGGAGGGCUCAGAGGCAGGUCCCCCCUCAGGCCCCCCACUGCUCUGGUGGGCAGAGUUGGGCAUUGGGGACCUGGGUCCUCGGCUGAUUGUGCCUCUUCCUCAGGGUGGGGGGUGCAAAGCAGGUGCCCAGACUCCCCCCACCCCUCCUGCUAUGUGCUCACUGUCCAGAGAGGAGGUGGCCUCCAGAGGCUUCGUGGGGAGGGGUGUCGUGACCUCCCUCUGUCUACGUUUCACUCAGUCCUGCCAGUGCCACCCCUGUGAGCUGCCCCAGCUGCCGCUGGAGCAGGUGUGCCCAGGGAGAGGGGGGCUUCUGGGUGGGCAACCAGCCCUGCUUGCCCUACGUGUGCCUGAGAUGCUCCUGUCCACACCCGCCACCUCCCUCGUAUCGGUGGUCCUAGAAACACCCAGCAGGGGGCCUGAUCUGGAAAAGCCAGACCCUCAUCUGGUGUCAGGUGCUACCAAGGACACCUGUGUGACGCACGCGCGCCACCCACGUGCCUGAGGAGUGGCGCUCCGACCUGGGGAGCGCAUGCCUGGUUUUGGGACGGGUCCGUCUAGUUCUGUGGGGAUGGACAGUUCUGUAUUUGGUGGCUGGUUAGACACAAGGUUGGUGGCAGAACCCAGCUCCUCUGAGACACGUAACUGAGAACCAGAAACGUAACGGAGAAAAGCGCUGACCGAGGUACCGCGUCAGCGAUGGCCAUUCCUAAGUGUGAAAUGACAGAGCUACGAUCUUUGGAAUCGCUGAAACAAACUCUUUUUUUUUUUUUUUUUUUUUUGUCUUUUUGCCAUUUCUUGGGCCGCUCCCGCGGCAUAUGGAGAUUCCCAGGCUAGGGGUCCAGUUGGAGCUGUAGCCGCCGGCCUACGCCAGAGCCACAGCAACAUCAGAUCUGAGCCGCGUCUGCAACCUCCACCACAGCUCACGGCCACACCGGAUCCUUAACCCACUGAGCAAGGCCAGGGUUCGAACCCGCAACCUCAUGGUUCCUAGUCGGAUUUUUUAACCACUGAGCCACGACGGGAACUCCAACAAACUCUUGAUAUUUGGUAAAACUACUUGCCCCUUGUGACGAAUAGUUUCGGAACUCAGCUUUCAGGUCAGGAGCCUUUUGCCAGCCUGCUUUCUGUCCCCAGAGCAAGGACAGGUGUUGAACCCGAGAUUUUGAUUCCCACAAAUCGUAUCGGAGCCGUUUACUGGCGGUCUCACUCAGCAUGUCUGAGACGCCGCCCAGGACUUCCUCUGUAGCGUUAAGGAAGAAUCAGCAAUACGGGGAUGAGGUCGCANCCUACGCCAGAGCCACAGCAACGCGGGAUCCGAGCCGCGUCUGCAACCUACACCACAGCUCACGGCAACGCCGGAUCGUUAAGCCACUGAGCAAGGGCAGGGACCGAACCCACAACCUCAUGGUUCCUAGUCGGAUUCGUUAACCACUGCGCCACGACGGGAACUCCUGAACCCGAGAUUUUGAUUCCCACAAAUCGUAUCGGAGCUGUUUACUGGCGGUCUCACUCAGCAUAUCUGAGACACCGCCCAGGACUUCCUCUGUAGCAUUAAGGAAGAAUCACCAAUACGGGGACGAGGUCGAAUUUCCACAAACCCACGUGCCUGGCCAGCGGGUACCGGUGACCAGGUCUCCAGGCCUGAGCGCCUGUGUCCGUGGACAUUGCUGUUGUCUUGGAGGUGACUGAUGCGGGGGCGGGGGGAGCUCAGUGGUCCUGGGUCCUCGCGGGGUGGACCUCUGGCUGGGCUCCGGACCACGGCAAGAGGCCGCAGCAAGAGCUGCUCUCCGGGUCCUGGGGACCCACCACUUGGCGAAUAGCAGAGCUUGGGGAAACGUCUUUCUGAGGAGACGUGGGGAUGAUGGGACAUUCCUUGCUAGGCGUGUCCUGCCUGCGAUGUCCUUCGGGCUGGGCUGCCUCUGAGCAGGGGCCCCCUGGGGUCCCUCCUCCAAGGGGGUUCUCACCUGCUCCACCCCAGGUGCCCCCUAUGCACGGAUGGGCCUCCCCGCAUCAUCACACACACCCCUCCCUGGCCUCAAGGACCAACCGUGAGGUCAGAAGAAAGGAGGCUGGCCCCCCAGGCGGGGUGGGGCCUGUGCAGGCUCGCCGGAGGCCAGCAGGGUCUCCGUGGGGUCUUCGGGCCUCUCUGGCAGAGAAGCAGCC
rnacentral:lncRNA from 1 species